rnacentral:lncRNA from 1 species
ACUGUCUUGAUCAAGAGUGUGUGAAGCUUUUGAGAAUUGUGGUUGCCCUCCAUUGAUGAAGCUCUUGUUGGCAUCAUAAAUUGGUUUUGCUUCACACUGUCUUGAUCAAGAGUGUGUGAAGCUUUUGAGAAUUGUGGUUGAACUCCUUUGAUGAAGCUUUUGUUGGUACCAUAAAUUGGUUUUGCUUCACACUGUCUUGAUCAAGAGUGUGUGAAGCUUUCGAGAAUUGUGGUUGCCUUCCAUCUUGUUAGCACCAUAAAUUGGUUUUGCUUCACACUGUCUUGAUCAAGAGUGUGUGAAGGUUUUGAGAAUUGUGGUUGAACUCCUUUGAUGAAGCUUUUGAUAGCACCAUAAAUUGGUUUUGCUUCACACUGUCUUGAUCAAGAGUGUGUCAAGCUUUUAAGAAUUGUGGUUGAACUCCUUUGAUGAAGCUCUUGUUGGCACCAUAAAUUGGGUUUGCUUCACACUAUCUUGAUCAAGAGUGUGAAGCUUUCUACGAGUUGUAGUGUUUGCAUUGUUACAUAGGGGAAAUGUCUGAAGUAGAUGCAAGAGGGCUGAAUAGCUUGAUCUUCGUAUGUCAUGCACUGAAGUUGUUGUUGGCUUGCAAUAAGACUUUGUUGGUGACUAUAACUCUUGUUGGGCAUAAGUGCUCCCUUAGUUGAGUUGUCAAGCUUGAGGGUUUUUUAUUAUUUGUGAAUGUUAGGAGUUCACAUGUACAAGUUGUACCACUCGUCUUCUGGAAGGUGGAAUGAAUGGUGAGUUGCUUUCAUCAUUUGGUUUGUGGUACGAAGGUGAGUUCCUUCAUCACCUUUCAUCACAUUUCAUCACCUGGUUGGUGGCACGAGGAUGAGUUCCUUCUUCACCUGAUUGGUGGCAUGAAUGGCAAGUUGCCAAAUGAUAUUAGAGUACGGGUUGUACAUUUCAUCACCUGGUUGGUGGCAUGAAGGAGAGUAUGGGUUGUACAUUUCAUCACUUGGUUGGUGGCAUGAAGAUGAGUUCCUUCUUCACUUGGUUGGUGGCAUGAGUGGCAAGUUGCCAAAUGAUAUUAGAGCACGAGUUGUACAUUCAUCACCUGGUUGGUGGCAUGAAGAAGAGUAUGGGUUGUACAUUUCAUCACCUGGUUGGUGGCACAAAGAUGAGUUCCUUCUUCACCUGGUUGGUGGCAUGAGUGGCAAGUUGCCAAAUGAUUUUAGAGUACGGGUUGUACAUUUCAUCACCUGGUUGGUGGCAUGAAGGAGAGUACGGGUUGUACAUUUCAUCAC